CCUGCCUCCUCCCCGACCCUUUGGAGUCUGGUGAACUCCAAAUGCUUGCCCACAUGCGGGUCCCAUGCCUGAAAUGUGUGGCUCUGUUCACUUGCUGCAGCCUGAGAGAAGGACAGAAUAGAUUGGCAAGUAACGUCAUCUGACCCAUCUCAUCAAUCAUUAUUCAAAUCACACAGGCUCACUUGAUAAAAUAAGUUGAAUUGGAUAAGACUCUUUCCAAGAUAUCA
rnacentral:lncRNA from 1 species